AUGGGACUGAGUAACAAUGUUACAGAACUUUUCCUCCUGGGCCUCACUCAGGAUCUCGAUGUGCAAAAUGCAUUAUUUGUCAUGUUUUUACUAACAUACAUUGUGACUAUGGUGGGGAACCUGCUCAUUGUGGUGACUAUUAUUGCCACCCCAUCCUUGGGCUCCCCAAUGUACUUUUUCCUUGCCUGCCUGUCAUUUAUAGAUGCUGUGUAUUCCACCACCAUUUAUCCCAAAUUGGUUGUAGACUAACUCCAUAAUUAAAAGACUAUUUUGUUCCCAACUUGCAUGGGCCAGCCACUUACAGACCACUUAUUUGGUGGUGUUGAGGUCUUUUUUUCUGUUGGUGAUGGCCUGUGAUCGCUAUGUGGCCAUCUGUAAGCCACUGCACUAUUUUACCAUCAUGAAUCGACAGGUUUUCAUCCUUCUGUUGGUAGUGGCUGUGACUGGAGUUUUGUGCGUUCUGUGUUCCAAAUUGUUGUUGUGUACAGUCUCCCUUUCUGUGGCCCCAAUGUCAUUGACCACUUUUUCUGUAACAUGUACCCAUUAAUGGAAAUGGCAUGAACUGACACCUACUUUAUAGGCCUCACUGUGGUUUUCAAGGUUGAAGCAAUCUGUGUGGUCAUCUUCACCCUUCUACUAAUCUCCUCUGGCGUCAUCCUAAUCUCCCUUAAAACUUACAGUCAGGAAGGGAGGCAUAAAGCCCUGUUUACCUGCAGCUCCCGCAUUACUGUAGUUGUCCUCUUUUUUGUUCCCUGUAUUUUCAUGUAUGUUAGACCUGUUUUUAACUUCCCCAUUGAUAAAUUUAUUAUUGUGUUUUAUACAGUUAUCACACCCAUGCUGAAUCCUUUAAUAUACAUGUUGAGAAAUUCAUAGACGAGAAAUGCUAUAGAAAACCCCUAGUGUAAAAAAUUAACUGUA
rnacentral:lncRNA from 1 species